GACACAUGGCCCAUUUAGCUGUCCUCAUGUAAUCAUCUCUCCUAGACAGCCUUCCAAUAGUGUUUUCCAUUCUCUCUCUGUCAGGUUCAGCCUUUACUCACCUUGAUUCGUGUUUACUUCCUGAACCCUGAUGCCCACAGCAAUACUCAUUCUAUUCGUAGUAAUGCUUUUGUAUCCUUUACCUUUUCUGAGAACCUUCUUCUACUUUCUACUGUAGCAGAAGCAGCCGAUACUCUUACUAGUGUGUCAUGUUCCUAGAAACCUUCUCAAGCCACUGACAUGAACGUUUCUGCCUGUCUGCUCAUUCAGGGUCAGUAGGUACAUAGGGUUCAGUAUUUUCUUGGUGACUUCAAGAUCAUUGUCCAACAACCCCAAGUGAAGAGGCCCUUAUCACUUGACUCUCAAAAAUUUCAAUUACAAAUCCUUUGAUCAACAUUCAGGUCAGCCACUUUCCCUUUUCCUCUUCCUACAUCGAUGACUCUCACAAAAGAUUCAAAGUCUUACUUUUGUCCUCCUGGGGGAUUUGAAUGUCCAUGUGGUUGGUCCAUCUAAUGUGCAGUAUCCUGUGAUCACCACUGUGGCAACACUGGUCACCCAAGGUCACGUUAUCACCUGAACACUACUCUACCGCUGACAUCUCAAAUGCCUGUCCUCCCACCCUGUUUAUGCCCUCACUCCUUCAAUUCUAUUAAAUGUUUCUUUGGUCUUACUAAAGAGCAGAUUAUCUUCUUUGGUCUUGACAUCUGGUUAUUCUGGGUCAGUGGCUCCUUCUGCCCCUAUUUUCCUCCAGUACCUGAAGCACAUGGUCAAGUGAAGCUGGUAGAAUUCUUCCCUAGUCCCUUGUCCUUCUAUGACAUCUUUCCCAUGAAACCCAAGAUGGACCAUCUCAACUCUUUAUCUUACCCGUGUGUUUGCACCCUGAUGCUUACAAAGGCAAUCUUUUGAAAAACAGAUGAGAAAAUAAAUGGGAAAACAAUUAAUAAAAUCUUAGACCCAGAGAAAUGCUAUUCUUUAUGAGCUUAGCAACUUUGGGAUACUUUACAAAAAUGUACAACAAAUAUACGCUUCCAGGACUAAUAUCUGAGGACUAAUAUUCCAGGACUAAUAUCAUACUUUUUUGGGAAUAAUUUUAGCAGAGACUUUCAAUGAGGGUAAAUAACAUUUCAGUUCUAUUGGUGUCAGGUUUUUCUAAUGGGACCAGAGUCCCAGGAUGACACAGUUGAGUCAGGCUGGUGGCAAUACCAUGACAUGCAAUACCUUUUCUGGGCACACCCUUACCACUCACAGGCUUUGGAAAAGGAGAGAAUUUAAUGUUCAUGGGAGUUUAAUGUGAGAACUAGAACUUAAGAAUGCACUUUCCCCACAUGGCUUAAGGUAGAGUGGGAAAGCAUAGGAAAGAAAUGAGGUUCUUUUCUGAUACGCUUUCACCCUCUCCUCGGCUGAACCUUUCUGUCUCAUGUUUCUCUAAGCUUGGGCCUCACAGAUUGAACCACACCAAAAGCAGCAUUUUCUUGAGGAAGUUUAUUAUGCAAAGCCUUUGAUGAUUUUUUCUUCCAGUUUAAGGUGAUCAUAGAGAAAAGUGAUGAUUUUGAUAGUCUGAUGGCUUCAAAUGAAAUCAUUGCCCCAGGACCCCAGCAGACCGUCCUGGUUCCCAGUGAGGAUGGGGCAACUCUUCUUUUCCCAGUUACACCAGCACACCUGGGAGAAAUUCCUGUCACAGUCACAGCUGUCUCGCCUGCUAUUUCUGAUGCCGUCACCCAUAGAGUUUUAGUGAAGGCUGAAGGGAUAGAAAAAUCCUAUUCGCAAUGCAUCUUAUUAGACUUGAUGGACAGCAGGUGACAAACUACCCUGAGAACGUCUUUUCCCCCUCCCUCUUCAUACAGUGAGCGGUUGUGAAAGAGUUCAGAUCAGCUGCAGUUGGACUGCCCUCCAUUUGGCCUGUGCCAAUGGCCACGGAGGCGUGGUAACUCUCCUGGAGCGAGGAUGCCAGGUGAACACUCAGGACAGGAAGAAAAGGAUGGUGCUGAUCAAGGUGUGUAGCAGCCAGCCGUGCCCACGUGAGAUGGAUUCCAUGUAAUGACUUAAAUUAAAACUCAAUUGAUCUGAUUUAAGCUGUAUAGUGCGAGGCGGAGGAGUGCGUGGACAUCCUCCUUAAAAGUGGAGCGAACGUCAACGCCGCAGAUGUACUUGGCAACACUGCACUCCACUAUGCGGCAUCCUCAACACAACGUGUAUUGCGGCGAAGCUUCUAUCCCAUGCCGCGGACAUGGACGUGAAAAACCAGGAUGACCUGACACCACUAUUAGUUGCCAUAAGGGAAAACAGGCAGUGAAUGGCAGAAUUUUUAAAUGAAAAACAGGCAAAUAUACAUGCAAUUGAGAAGAUGAAAAGCAAUCACCAAUGGAUUUCUGAACACAAAGACGAAAAGAGAUGUGAAACGCCUUUUCAAGAUACCAACCCAGAUAAGACUCCUGAUUGUGAAACAUCAGCUUUCUACUCAACAGAGGAGGAAGAUGCACCUUCUCCUGAUAUGGAGGAAGGGGUGACCGAGGCAGAAAUUGAGCAAGAUGAACCUGGUACUGAAAUGGAUGCAGACGAUGAAGGUGGUUGAGAGGAGCCAACAGAUGAGAAGGAAUUGACGUCUGUGGGUGGAACAAACAAAGCUGACAUGUCCAGUGAAACAUCACCCUGCUACUCGGGAGAAGCCGAAGACGCACAGUCUCCCGAUGAGGAGGAAGUUUCAACUGAGCCAGAAACUGAAAAAGAAGAAGAUGUUACUGAAUCUCUUGAAGGUCCUACAGAGGAAUCAACUGUUCAGGCCAAAAUGACUUUUGAUGAAGGAGUUCUUAUAUUUAUCUUAUUUUUAUGUAGCAUUUACUUGAUAUUUGUAGUGUUAUAUAAACCUACGCUUGGUGACAUGUGGCCGGGUUAAAUGUUGUAUACUGCAUUGUAUCCGUUUGUUUGUGUCUUUUAAGACACAGUCCGGUCUUCCCAGCAUUCCCCGAGCCAAGACCUGCCCCAGACUCUUCUCUCCUUUGUGCCCUGACUAUCCAUUGACUUCAGUUGUAGAGCUGUUGGAUGACCCUUUUCUGUGCUGAUUGGUUUUCACAUGUCCCUGCCUCUGGUACAACGCAGAGCAGAAUCUGUCUUUCGUGUGUAUUCCCGGCUAACAUCACCCUGCUACUCUGGAGAAGCUGAAGACGCACAGCCUCCCGAUGAGGAGGAAGUUUCAACUGAGCCAGAAACUGAAAAAGAAGAAUAUGAUACUGAAUCUCUUGAAGGUCCUUCAGAGGAAUCAACUGUUCAGGACAAAAUGACUUUUGAUGAAGAGUUUUUAUAUCUUAUUUUUAUGUAGCAUUUAUUUGAUAUUUGUAGUGUCAUAUAAACCUACACUUGAUGACGUGUGGCUGGGUUAAAUGUUAUAUACUGCAUUGUAUCCGUUUGUUAAUUCUUUCCCCUCAAUUGAUUAAACCCGUCUGUAUAGCUCAAAAACCUGUGGUU